CUAUGUUAACCUAAAAAUGAAAACCCAAAAUGAGAGACUGAAAGGAAAAUGGAGGCACUAUGGACAAUCAGACCAGACCAGUUUCUGGGCAGACAUGCCUCAGCAUGUGCGCUGCAGGCCGCGCACGCGCGGAACUGUGUACGUAAACACCCUUGUGUAACCUUUACUGGCUGUGCGCCAAUUUUGCGCAACGGUCCUAUAAAAGUGGCCCUAGGAAAAGCCAGGGGCUCCCUCCUCCUGCCGGCCGGCCGAAGAGAUUAAAGCAUGUCUACGCUGUCAUCAGCUCCGCGCAUCUUUUUCCAACUCCCCAAACCCUGUGGUCCGGUCCGCAGCUGUUCCCCUUCUGCAUACACCUGGCUUAGUCAGGCAGGAUUCCAAAGUGAGGGGACCCACAGCUCCUGAGACUGACGGGACGGACACGUGGCCACCCACUUGUAUGUGGUUCCCGGUGGCGGAUGUCCUGUUGAAUUGGGCCCCUGCGGAAGGGAGGGAGCCGUGGAUGGUACCCCCGUCAGCAUCCAGCCGGCUCUGCAUAGCCUUGGGGAGCAGGUGCUGGGACGGCUGGGUGGGCUGUUUUGGACAGCCCUACGUCGCAACACGGAGUCUGCCCUGCGGGAUGCGGACCGCAUACUGGAGCUGCGAGCCAAGGAGGCCGCCGUGGAAGCGCGGGUGCCGCAGUUAGCACAGGAGUUGGAAAUGGCGCCUCGCAGCCGGACGGCGGAGGACGCUCAGGACAGGACGUGGAGGAAGCACGCCCUCUCCAUGCUCAGGCAGUAAUCUAGCAAAAGGUAAAGCACGAGCAGCCCCUGGGCCCAGGAGGUGUCGCGCAAGGAGCCCCAGUCGUGACAAAGUUCACGGCGUAUACCUUAUACGCCAACGGACCUGCGGGACUAGUACCGGCCUGGCUCCUGCGGCUAUGGGAUGAGGGGGCGGAUGGUGUCAUCUGUGCCCCAGAUGAGAUGGAGAAGCUGUCCUCCAUCACGUUGCAUCCUUCCCUUCGGCAGCAGCUACAGAUUAGCCGCCGGCUAGCCUAAGGGCAGGGGAAUCGCUCCAAGAUGGAGUGGGUGACGGCUGUCGCCUGGACAGGUGUGGCAUAACGCCUGGGAGCUUCCAGAGACUGUAAGUUGGUGGCAGACCUAUGGGAACUGGUCCAAGUUAUCCGCGAAUUGGGAAUGCGGCCCCGUCUAAUUCUUUUGGGUCCUUGGUGACGAUUUUGGCACCUUAUGUGGGGUGCCGGAUACAUGAAAUAACUACUGUCAUGGCCACUUUGGGGAACGCAGAAGGCCGGAGGAGGGAAAGAACCCUGCGUGUCGCACGGCAGAUGGCGCCCAAGCCUAAGCGAGUCACCCACAUGCAGAUGUGGAUAGAUCUGCUAGCCGCAGGCACCGGUCAGGCGAUAACAGACCGCAAACGAAGGCUGUCUUGGUGGUGCUGUGGCGCCAGUUGAAGUCUGAGCAACAGUCCCAAAAGAUGGCAGGAGUGAGGAAGAGUCCUGGCAAGAGUCGCCAGAUCUAGAGCAGGCUGUUGACUCCCUGUGGAGACAUCUGGCAACAUGUGGUUGGACCAUCAACGAUGCCAAAGUCCAGGGACUUGGCUUAUCUGUCAAGUUCUUGGGGAUUGUCUGGUCAGGACCCUUGAGAGAACACAGCACACCAGGGAGACCACAGCGAUACUAUGAGGAGGAUAAAAUAUCAAGAGACUGAAGUACGCUCCUUAGCCAGGUCCUCCAUGAUCCAGACCGCCCAGGUUGGGUUCCCAGGCAUGGAACCACACCACUCAGCUGUCAGUACCAUGCUGUGGCAGUGGCUCACAUAGAAGAACCAGAAGAAGUUACAACUAUACACAACUGUGAACUGGGGCUUUGGAGGGGGUAAAAAAAAAAAAACAAAAAAACAAGGAGGAAGACUGGCAACAGUUGUUAGCUUAGGACAAAACAAGAAGAGUGAUUGACCACAUAGGCCCUUUUUUUUUUUUUUGAGGAAGAUUGGCCCUGAGCUAACAUCUGCACCAGUCUUUCUUUAUUUUAUGUGGGAUGCCGCCAUAGCAUAGUUUGACUAGUGGUGCUAGGUCCAUGCCUGGGAUCUGAACCUGCAAACCCCAGGCCACUGAGGUGGAGUGCGUGAACUUAACCGCUACGCCACUGGGCCGGCCCCCACACAGUCUUUUUAAAAGUCUGCCUUGCUGCCUCUUGAAGCCAGGAAGUGAAACCAAGGACUUGCCAGACAUUUCCUGGAAUACCUAUAUAUUUGGGUGAAUUUUUAUUUUCUUGAGGUCCCUCAAAUAUUCUCAUGUUCCCCAGGCUACCAGGAAGUGACCUUUCUUACUCAACCGGUAAGGCUAGGAACCCUGUAGGUAACACAACAGGAGGUUUUUCCAAGGAGCUUUAUUAUCUCCAUAUUAGCUCCAUCGACUAACCUUGGUUUCUGAAAACUGGUCAUAUCUGAUUUUAUGCACAUCAUUUUUAAAUGUGACAUUUCAGUCAAAGCCUUGGUAAUAUAACCAAUGUUUCCAAUUGUAUUCUGUUACAAGGAGAAUAGAUUUUAUUGUAUCUAUGCAAAUAACUAUAUUGCCAUGAAAAUAAAAAUACUUAAUAAGAAUUUCAGGGGUCGGCCCCGUGGCCGAGUGGUUAAGUUCGCUCGCUCUGCUUCAGCAGCCCAGGGUUUCCCCGGUUUGGAUCCUGGGCACAGACAUAGCACUGCUCAUCAAGCCAUGUUGAGGCGGCAUCCCAUAUGCCACAACUAGAAGGACCCACAACUAAAAAUUUGCAACCAUGUAACAGGGGGCUUUGGGGGGAAAAAGGAAAAAUAAAAUCUUUAAAAAAAAAAAUCAAAAAAUAAUAAAACAAUUUCAUAAUUCUGGAGGGAUCAGGUAAGGAGAAAAAGAUAAAUGUUUUAAUUCUGUUUACAAAGGUAUAAUUUACCAAAUUGCUGUGAGUUAUAGAUAACAAGAGAAAAAGAUUUCCUUAAAUCUGGAAAACAAAAGAUCAAAGAACCAGCAAUGUUUCAAACAAAAAGUCAUAAAAAUUAUAACUAUCCUUAUCAGUUCAUUUAAUCCCAUGUUAUUAAUUCCUGUUCUCCUUGAAUCCAAUUUUUUCAUCAGAGUUCUGGAAAUUCCUACUCAGUUUAGUGGUACAAUCUUAAAAAGUUAUCAGGAACCUGUAUUCUACAGUACUUGUCAGAGUCUUCAUUAUAAAUCUCUCUGAAGAUGGAGCACUUUUACAGAAGCAUCAGAGUAAAACAAUAACUGUCUAUAAAUGACAAAAAAAGACUUUAAAAUGGCCAUCGUUAAAGAUCGGAUGAGGGGCUGGCUCUGUGGCCAAGUGGUUAAGUUCCGGCACUCCACUUCAGUGGCCCGGGGUUCGCUGGUUCGGAGCCCAGGUGCAGACCUACACGCCCUCAUCAAGCCAUGCUGUGGCAGCCUCCCACAUGGAGGAAAGAGAGUGACCUGCAACUAGGAUAUACAGCUAUGCACUGGGGCUUUGGGGAGAAAAAAAAAGGGAGAUUGGCAACAGCUGUUAGCUCAGGACCAAAGUUCCUCAUCAAAAAAAAAAUACAUCGGAUGAGUUCAUUUGAUAAGGAAAUUUAGUUAUUUCGGUGUCAUACAACAAUUUAAGAUAAUAAUUGAACAAUGAAGGUAUUGACAAAUUUCUGUGAACUUCAAAUCAUUCUUGGAAUGCCUAUAUUAGUAAUAUAUAUCUAUACACAUGUAACCUAAGAAGGUUUAUUAUCACUUUUUAUUUGACAAUGCUUCUUGUGUAAUUUAACAUGCAAAAAAACCUAAUUAGUUUAAUAUCUUUCUUUCACAAGGUAAGAGACAAAUGUUUUGAGCUUUUUCCAGGGGCCCUUUGGGAAAUCUCAAAGUUAAUCUGAGAUCAAAAAGACUCCAUUUAAGGGCCAGCCUGGUGGCACAGUGGUUGGGUUCACGCAUUCCGCUUCAGCAGCCCAGGGUUCGCCGGUUCAGAUCCCAGGCAUGGACCCACACGCUGCCUAUCAAGCCAUGCUGUGGUAGGCGUCCUACAUGUAAACUAGAGGAAGAUGAGCACAGAUGUUAGCUCAGGGCCAGUCUUCCUCAGCAAAAAGAGGAGGAUUGGCAGCAGAUGUUAGCUCAGGGCUGAUCUUCCUCAAAAAAAAAAAAAGACUCCAUUUAAAAUUUGAUUUGGGGAAGUUGUCAAAAAUGUUAAAAGUUUUGAACAUUAAAUUAAAUAAAUUAUGUAUUUAUGUAUACAUAUAUAAUAUUUUAAUAUAAAUAUAUAAUAGAUAAAUUGUGUAUAUGUAUAUAUAAUAUAUAACUAAUAAAAACAAAGUUCCAUAGCUUGAUCCAACUGGAAAUCCACUGUUUGUAUACUAAAUUUAUAUAUUAAAAAUAGCAUAUAAGAAAAAACAAAAAGGGUGCUAAUUGGCUUUUGUGGUGUACAACAUAGGUUCUAAAUUAACUUUAACAUUGGCUGAAAUGCACCAAUUGGCAAAACUUUAUGGACUUAAUUCUGG
ensembl:lncRNA